ensembl:lncRNA
CGGCCGGGCGCAGCUGCGCCUCGUCGGGAGCCGCGGGCGGGGCCCGCCCCAAAGCCUCUUAAGCUCCUCCGGAGGCUGCCGGGAGCCACGGGGGAGUUUCUGCGGUUCUGUAUGGGAGACGGAGUGAGUUCUGUUUCUUUGUCGGGCCCUGGUGCUGCUGAGGCUGAGAAGCGGUACGCGGGUUUUUUUUUUGGGGGGGGGGGGACGGCGCCUUCAGGUUCUUUUUAAUGUUCUCGUGGUGUCGUUUUGUUUCAGGCUGCUGUGAGCCCUUUUGCGGUAAGGACCAGCCCAAACAGGUGAGCGGUUCGGGUAGUAAGGGGACGGUGAGCGCUCAGGAGCCGUCAGGAUCUCCGGAGCUGGCGGCUGUCGGACCCCGCUCUUCUCGGGGCCGGCGUUAGGUCGCCGCCGGGCUCCCCCGGCUGUGCGGAGCCGAUACGGCGCCGCCGCCGCCCGGCUGCCGUCGCGUUUUCGGAGGCGGCUGCCGCUCCGACCCCCGAGUCCUCGCACAGCCCCGGGGUGCUCUCAGCCCCCCUCACCCUCGGGAUUUCUUUUAGCGGGUGCUUCAGUUCUUCAGGCUCUCCUCGGUAGGAGCGAACGCGAUGGGGCCGUAUUCGUGCAGCCUCUGUGCUGCCGGGAGAGAGAAGCGAGGCCAAGGGCUGCUGAAACAAAAGGUUUCUCGUGUUGCAGGCUGAGCGAGGGCUGUAGCAGAGCCUCUCAUCGGCCCGAAGCAGUGAGCUCGUGGAAGCGGUGAGUGUUUGAGAGUCGCUCGGUAAGAUCUCCCCUGCUGGGGCUCCUGUAGGGUUGCUGCCCGACUGCCUCCGUGUCUUUGGGAUCGGCACGGCGCCGCCGCUGGGGGCUCCCGCGUGGCUUUUUAGUAGGACCGGCACGGGGCCUCCGCCCGAGACCGAGCACGAUCCCGGGGUGGCCUCGGCCACUGCGGAGUGUUUUGCGGGUGCUCUCACCCAUCCCGUUUCCAGCGGUGGGAGCGAGCAGGUUGGGACCGUGGUUUUAUUUUUCCCCGCCUCUUCCUUCCCGUGUAACUGCAGGAGCACGAUUUAGGUUCCCACCGUGGAGACCUGGCAGGGCAGCUCGCACGACUGAAGUGCUGUCGUGGAUGGCUCUGUUCCUUUUAGGAAAGGCAGACCGGCCAGGCGGUGGAGUCUCUUUUCGAGGGAGAGAACGGGAACGUAUCGAGCUCCACCUAGGGAUGACUGAAGAACCAGCGGAGCGUUUGUGCGUGAGGCUGAAGAGGCAGGUAAAAGUGGGUGACCUGAGUGGGGGUGUUGGUCACAGACCAGGGUGAGGAAGCUGAUAGACCUUCUGCACACAGCUGGAAAUGGUGCCCACAGCUGUGAGGCUAGUUCUCAUGGUAGGCUCCAGGAGUUUCCUGCAAUGUGUCAAAGGUAAGAUCUUCUGACACAGGUGACGAAGGAGGCAUUGAGGAGCUCCCUAUUGCAGAAGAGCCAUUUGGGGACAGGAAGGCCAGGGGCAGCCUGGAGCGUGCCAGUCGUGAGACCGCAGCGUUUGGGAUCUUGUGUGGAAGCUGCAAAGCAAUGAGUAGGAUUGAAACACUGGACUUAGAGGGAGCCAGGUUUGUCCUCUUGAAGGGCCUACUUGGAGGUAACCCUUGCUCAAGCAUAGGAAGGGGUCCUGUGAAUGCUGGAGCAUUACUUCAUCCAUGCUGAGGUGCACUGCGUCCCAAGGAGGAAGGAAGUGCGCAGGAAUGGUGGGGGACCUGCAGGGCUGACUGAGGAACUUGAAGGGGAGAAGGAAGAGAGAGGCUGAGGAAGGCCAAGUCCUCUGAGUAUCAGCUUUGGGAGGGAGGUCAAGGCUAAUGGAAGUUUGUCAACAGGAGAGACUGGAGAAAUUGCAGGCCUGUGCUUCACAAGGCAAGGGCCUGAGUAAUGGAGGAUGGAGGACAUGCUGGAUGCCUGUUUUGGUUUCAGUGGUCUCUGCUGAGAGUGCUCCUGGGGUCCUGGAGGAGAGAGUCUCAGAGGAAGGUUGCCUUCCCCUCAGUGCAGAGGAGCUGGUCAAAAGUGGUUCAGGCAGAAAGGAGGCCAGCAAAUGCCUGAGCUGUAGAGGGCUAUGCCUGUGCCCGCUGAGAGCUGGCAGCGGUGACCGGCAAAUGGCGCUCUCUGUCACUUUUCCCUGCUGUUUCCUGUGGGGAAAGGUACCUGAAGACUGGAGGAUGGCGGAUGCCACUGCAGCCUUCAGAAAGGGUGUGGAGGAUGGCGUGUGCAACUUGGAGGUAGGUUGGCCUCACCUCUGUUCCUGGGGAGGUGACGUAACAGCUUGUUGCAGGUGUCAUUGCCAUGUGACCGGAAGAGAAGGAAUUUGCAAGGAGCAGUCCAGGUGGAUGGACAGAGGGGAAGUCAUGCCGGACCAAAAGGGCGAGGGCUGCAGCGGAGAGCUUUGCCGAGAGGAUUGGCUGGAGCAGGUGUGCGGUUUCCCCAGCAGUGGGAUGAAGGAGGUGAGAGAGGGGGACCCCCAGGCGCGCCCCCUUGGAGGUGGUUUGUGGAGGUCUCUGUGCAGGUUCAGGCCGGAGGCAGGAUCCUGGUGGUGUGAGCGGGGUGCCCCUGUGGAGCAAGGGUGGAAGGUGCGUGGCAGGCCCUGUCCCGGAGGAGUGGAGUUGAUGGAGCGUGGCCCUUUGAUGCUGGAGUGAGGGGUCCUGGUGGGGCUGAAGUCCUGCGUGGAAGAGGGAGAUCCCAGGCGCUGCGAUGCGGAGGAGGAGCGGAGCCAGUGGUGGCUCCUGUGUGGUGAUGGCUGCUUAGUGGUGGUGUUCCUGGUCCUGGGCUGAAAGGAGGAGGAGGAGAAAGCUUUUAGUGUGUUACUUCAAAGCUCAGAGCACCUACUCCAACAGCACCAUGCCUCAGCCUCACUUCGCUCACCAGCUGAAAUUGCUGAGGAUGUUUCCUGUGUCUGUGUUGUUGCAGCUGAAUUUCUGCAAGGCAGCCUUUCUCAGAUGCGGCUUGGAUGACCUUGCUGAGGCUGAACAAGAGUACAAAACCUGUGAGUUAAAUGGGUGGAACAAAACUACAGCUGCUGCACCUUACCGGGCCGAGAGUCGUGACCUGAUCUUCCAUCUUUUACACAAAACGAGUCAGAUCUUCAGCUUGCUGCCACGAGUAACUCACACAUUCUCCAAUUCCUCGUAUGGAAAGAAGGCUUUCUUCUAAGGGAUUAUUCCAAUGCGUAAAAUCGGUGAAUUCACCUGUACAGUAAUGAAAUACUUUCAAUAAUUUCAUGCAAAACUUUCUUUAAGCAGUGCCUUGGGCCAAUCUUUCCAUGUGAGAGCUGCAUGAGUAAAAGUUCUCCUUUCGGUCCAUUUCUGACUUAUUUUUUAUAAUUUAGUUUAAAAGUUCAAGUCAUCCAACCAAAGCUGUGACAACAGGAAUAACAGGCUCGUGGUAUAACAGCAGUAGGAUUUAGGCACCUGUGGAGGGAGAAACACUGAAGAUUUCACCGUGGGUUCAGGGUGGGCCAAACAUUAAAAUCCCUUUCUUGGUUUAAGAUCAGAAUGCACCUUUGUGGGAUUCAUUUCUUCCUUACAUCUCAGUAACCAAGUAUGCAUUGAGUGACCUACACCUUUAAGGGGGAAAAUGGUCUCAGUCAAGCGCUGGAUGAAUAUAAAUAGUAAUAAUAAAAGCCUAUCAGUAAGGAAAAGCUGAGCAUUCUUUUUGAAUGCAAACAUAAUAAUUAAUAAUAAUCAUAAUCAUAAUCUGUGGCACAGGACCCAAAGAGACCUUUUCCUCACAGUUUCACACAGCAGUUCUCUCAUCAGCUCUGAAACCAUCUACCUCUGCAACUCAGAAAGCUUUCUUUUUUUCUUUUCCUGAAAGUUCAAGGAUACGUUAUCCAUUUUCUGGGCAAGUUUAGAACUUUGGGUCUCACUUCUGCAUACACGGAUUCUUCUCUAAAGUCACUAAGACAGAACAAAACCCGAGACCCUCUUUGGACUGCAAAUCCAGAAGCAUUCGACCCUGCGGUUCUGCCAAGCAGUGUGAAACACCGUAUUUGUAUCCGCCUCACGCAGCUCCCGCCCGAGUUUUUUCUCCGCGCUGAGCAUCAGUCUGCAGUCCUCGGUAAUUCCGGUAGAGGGCAAUACAAUAAAGCCAUUCAUAGAGGGCUCUCCGAGGCAGCUGCCGUAACUGGCUCCCACAGAACGCCUCAGGCUUUCUUCUUGUUCUGGAUUGGUGUGCUAAUGCCAAAUAUUUACAAUUGAAUCUUUUUUUGAUCCCGGGAACGCUCAUACUGCUUAUUUCUUCUUUGACAGCACAAACGCACGGGCGCGUUCUCAGUGCCUGAAAACAUCUCUAUGCAAAAAUCAAGAUAUAACUCUCUUUGCUACCACUUUUUUUUUUUGUCUCAUCCUCAGCCAUCCGUUUGAAUGUAAACGUUACAGUAUACCUCACAUCCGUAAGGAGUCUUUACAUUCAGGUGUAGUUUUAAAAAGUCUCAUAGGAACCUCUUGCAGUCGAUUAAUGGGCACAUCGGAAGCAAAUCAACUGGAAGUACGGGAUGAGUGUUAUUUAAUUCUCCCUAGGGCUUUGCUAUUCACACACUCCUCUGUGCAGGUAGAUAUUCACGUGCGUAUGAAAGGAAAACUCACCUUCAAGGCGUAACAAAGGGAAACCCGCACUGGGAUCAUUCGUAGGAAAGCAUCAUUUCACAGUACAUAGGUUUAUGGAUUGUGAGAGAUAGUGAUGCAUUUGUAAGGAUGAUCCCUACGAUAAGGUUCUGUGGUUUUAUUUUCUCAAGUCUAGACGUAUUUAGUCAAUAAUGAUUUCUUCAAAAGAUAGCCACAUCUCCAAGACAAGAACAGAACGGCCACGUGGCAGAUUUCACACAACCUCACAACAGUACCAUGAACUAUACGGGAGUUUCAUAAUUCAUGAAGGAACAAUAUUCCCUCCCGGGCACUAAAACUAGUCCAGAUAACACCAAGAACAGCUGAAAAGCCGGACAGUGUGAUUUCCCCUCUCCUCAAGUAUAGAGAGACACAAGUAUGAAACAGCUGGAAAACAUAUUCAAAGGAUGACAGGCACCACGUCACAGCAGAAGUGCCAGGUAAGCUCAGCGCAAAACAGUCCCUUUACUUCUUUCAUUCUUUCUUUCAUUUGUAACCAGAUUCAUGAGUGGAUGGAAAUGCUUGACAAAGUGAUAAUGAAUCUCUCUGAACGUUUACAUGGUUCCCAUCAGUGCAAAGACUCACCCAGUGCUAAAAGUAAUUCACUACAGUGUGUAAAAAAAAUAAACAAAU